rnacentral:lncRNA from 1 species
GUGCACUCCCACUCAUAGACAGGGAGCUUAAGAUGUAUAUAAGCACUAGAAAAAAUCUUCUAACCUUGAGUUGGUCUGGUGAGUUACUCUGACCUUCUCCUUGUAACUGGUUGCAGAAAUAAACUCCCUUCUUUCCCAGUCUGCCUGCAUCUCAUUAUUGGAUCACCAGGACAAGCAGCCAGGCCUCAUUCUGUCCGGGAGCAAAUCUGGUAACUCUCCCAGGAGAGCUCAGCAGCCAGCGGCUCGCAAAGAGGUAGUCUUUGGGUGACCCCCAGCAGCUGCCUGGUAUGGUUUGUCCUGGGGACUCUCCUGAGGACCUUUCUGGCUGCAAAGACUGCCCGUCUCUCUAUUACUGGGAAAGAAUAGAGAUUGGGAGCAGUUGCACUCAAAAGCCCUGCAGCUAGCUGUCCCAAGUAAACAACGCUCUUGGAGUAAAUUGGAAACUCACACAGCAUGGAAACCACAACCUUCUGGACAGACUGAAAGGAUGAAUCAAACACGAAAACAGUGCCAAACUGUGCCAACUAAAAUGGAUUCAGGUACUCAGCAUUGUACUGCUUUGGCCUGGUGAUCAAGUGCUGCUGAAAGAAUAAAGAGAAAUGAGCCCAAGUCAGCAGCUACAGGAGAAAUAGAAAGGGCCCCAUGACAUGCUGCUGACUACCAAUUUGGCAAUGAAACUGGCUGGCAUCAAGCCAUGGAUCCACCACAUGCCCGUGAAGAAGUUCCUGCCGGAGGAAACAUUCAUGACACAGGACACCAAGGCUGCCAAAUGGGAGACAGAACCCCUUGAAGGCCUAGGAUUUCUGUUCAAAAGAUGAUAAAGUAUUGUUUUACAUUGUUACAUUGCUGCUUUACAUUGCUGCUGUUUUACAUUGUUAUUUCUGCGUACCUCUAACCUUUUCCUACAAUGGGCAAAGGUUAUGCAAAUAGCUUACAGCAAGACUCUUGCUGGGUCUGUGCUCUAUUACCCCUCUCUGGCACCAUGGGGCUGCCUUGGUGCAUCCCCCACAUACAAGGAAAAAUUAGGUUUAUAAUAUCUUGAUUUUGUAGAACACCUUCCUGGUGGCAGAAAAUUCUUCUUGUCCUAGCUGCCUUCCUGGGCAUGAGCAUAAUACUAUGUUGUGAACUAUAUUAUUGUUAUAUGCUGUUCCAAAACAUUCCUCAGGCUCACAAGAUCAUGUCUUAUCAGGCGCUGCCUUUGAGUCUCUAAAGCCAGAAACAUUACCAGCACCAGAUAGACAUCUUCCACUCUAGCACCCCUUGAUGACAACCCUCUUCAGCAGGAAGUAGAUGGAGGGAAUGCAUACCCACUUUCCCUUAGUCGGCUAUGUCAUAGUUUACACUUUUGCACUAGCCUUUUAACAAACCAGUACUUGAAAAAAUUAACUAACAUGCUAGAAAUCACGUACAAAUUGACAGUGGGGAUUGUGGCAGGCCAGGUUUCCAUUAGCAACCAGAACAGUCAGUUUUCACUAAUCCUUUACUAUAACUCUGAUGAAUAUAUAAGUUAAACAUUAAAGAACUGGAGAAACUGGUCACUAAGUACAAUGGCUGGAAUGCAAAAACAAACCCAUUAAGACCCCAGACCCUAAUGAUUAGAUACAGAUUGAAAGAAACACUCCUGCUUGUAGGUGCACUCCCACACAUAGGCAGAGAGCUUAAAAUGUGUAUAUGCACUAGAAAAAAUAUUGUAACUGCGUUGGUCUGAUGAGUUACUCUGACCUUCUCCUUGUAACUGGUUGCAAAAAUAAACUUUCUUUUUCCCCAGUCUGUCUGCAUCUCAUUAUUGGACUGCGAGAACAAGCCACCAGACCUCUUUCUGUCCGGGAAUACAGUGAACCCAAUAUAUCUGAGACAGGAAUGUGCUGGAGAAUAGGAGCAGAAGAUGGCAACCAGGACACCAGAAACUUGAUGU